GAGUUACCACUCACUCUUCCAAGGAGCAGUAGAUUCGAGCUCUUGGAAGGUGAACUGGAGGUCCUCCCGUCAUGCUGAUAACACUCAUCAAGCAGAAUUUCUCCCUAAACGACAAGAGUGCUUCAAAUAGCUUUAGAAAAGAUAUUUGCACAUGAAGAUGGUAUGCUAAUAAAAAAAGCUUUGGAAAAUAAAUGCACUGAAUUUAAUAAAUCAUUGACUGAACCAGUACGCCGGCGAGGUCCUCGACGCCAUCGCCACGAGCACCCACGCCUUCCACGCGCAGCACCACUCCACCACCGAGAGCGCCCUGGCCUCCGACGCGCGGCACCACCUCGCCGCCGAGAGCGCCCUGGCCUCCGACGUGCAGCACCACCUCGCCACCGAGAGCGCCCUGGCCUCUGACACCCAGCAGCACCCGGCCACCGUCACAACCACCGCGCCAGCCCAGGAAGCGGUGCGGCCCGAGCUGCACCACUUGCGCGGGGAUGACGCCGCGGGGAGUUUCCUGGCCGCCACAGUGAAGAGGGCCGAGGACGCCAUCACCGACGAGUACGACUCGAGGCGGCCGCGGCGGUGCGGGCGGCGGAGCAGGACAUGAGCUGCCUCAUCGACGAGCUCGCCGAGCUGAGGAUCAUGUUCAUAUCUGACGAGAUCAUACCGGAGUUGAACUGUGAGGAUCUGGAGGAGCAGAACCAGAGGCUAAGGGCGGAACUGGACGCCACGACCAAAGAUAUCAAGUGGAAGAUGGAGAAGAUUGCAGAAUUGCAGGAACCAUUUCUUUCCUGAACUCCAGAAUGUUGUCUUACUUUCAGAGUGCUGAACUUUUCAACUCAGCUCUAUAGUAUCUUUAUACAAAUUGACACCAGUAUCGGAAUAUCAGUGCCUAACAAAAAGUUACAGACGCAAGGCCUCACAUACCCAAAAUUUACAGGGGCGUAUCGAAUUUUGUUACUGAAGUGAUCAUCGACAUCAUAUAUGUCCACAGAGACAGCAAGUUGUGAGCACACUGAAAUGAAGCAACCAUACACAGUAUAAAUUCAAAUCAUCUAGAACUAACAUCAGUGUUAGUUUACUUUCAGUUUUCAGAGUGUUGAAUUUUAAUUCAAAGUGUCGUUUUGCAAAUGAACACCGAUAUCAGCUGUUAUAAAAAAAACGGGUUACAAAUAGCAAUGUCGAAUGCUCAAGUCUGGCUGAAGAGGGCGUGAAAUGCAUUUCUACAAAUUACCCUGAAUUGCUUAUAGCCAAAAAUUCUAGCGUCAUGUCAGAACUUUUUCAUUGGAUUGAUCUGAAAUGAAGCUUACAAACAAACGCAACACGGUGUAUAUAUGCAACUGGGAGCAAAGACAGUAUAAAUUCAAAUCAUCUAGAAUCAGCAUCCGGUGUCAGUUUACAUUCAGUUUUCUGAAUGUUGAAUUUUCACCUCCUUCAGAGUGUCGUUUUGCAAAUGAACACCGAUAUUCAGCAGUAAUAAAAAAUAAAUGGGUUACAUAUAGUAAUGUCGAAUGCUCAAGUCUGGCUGAAAAGGGUGUGAAAUGCAUUUUUUUACAAAUUAACCCUGAAUUGCAAGUUUAUAGCCAAAAAAUUACAGCGGCAUGCCGAAUUUUGGUCAUUGGAUUGAAAAAAGGGUUAAUUUGAUAAAUGCCACUCCAAUUAUGGCAUUUUUCGAAGUCUGCAGUGGUGUUCUUCAAAGAUUGCAAAAUUUGCAGUGGCAUUUUUCAAAGUUUGGAAAUUGCAAUGGCAUUUUUAUGAAUCGCCAUAAUUGGAGUGGCAUUUAUCUAAUUAACACCAAUAUCGGUUGUUAGAAAAAAACAGUUAUGGGCAGUAAGUGGAAUUUCCAAAUCCAGAUUGGCUUCGAAUGCAUUUUUUUCAGCCAAAAAUUGGAACUGUAUGCCAACAUAUUGUAUUGACCAUGGACCGCAGUUCCAGCAUAUGCUCAGAGAAACAGUAACAGAGAGCACCUGCCCUGCUUACAGGCCACCAUAGUUCACCUAAAAAGGUUUGAUGAUUGAAUUCAUGUCAAAAGAUUCGAUGCUAGAAUUUUUAACUCAAAUCUUCUCAACACUGAAGAUUUGUGUGUUUUUUAUUUGUCUACUGCCUGAAUGAGGGAGUAUGCGGUGUUGAGAGGAUUUGAGUGGAAAUUCUACAUAUUCACACGAAUGUUUGUUCUUUUUAGCUAGAUUGUUGGUACAUUGAUACUCCUUAACAAUAAAUAAUUACCAAAAAAGCUACCUCCCCUUGCAGUAUGACCCGGUUUGUUUGCUUUCGCCAUCUUGACAUAGUCUUUUGUUGUUUUAGGGUACUUUGGAGGUCAACACACUGGACAUGGCAGGUGGAGAGCAAGCUGGCUGACCAUGAUCUGGCGCUGCAUGAGCUGGAGAAGGGGAGAAGCUCCCAGAGGAAGACCAUCAACAUCUUUAUGCGGUAAUGACGUAUGUGAGAAAUAUUCUGGAUGAGGAAUGGAAAAGGAUGAAAGAUUCAUUUCAAGACCUCAACAAAGAGCAGGUUAACAACAAAGAGCUCCAAGAUAAUCGCCAAGAGUUGAUGCAGGGUUUCGAGAACAUGCCGAUUAGUGGCGGUACCAUUGUUGGAAUAAAAAGGAUGGGCUUAAGCUGCAAGGUUGGUCUCGUAUUGGCAGGAGGAAAUACAGAAGCCAUUGUGGCGUUCGUUUACGACUAUUCAGGUCGAUGAAGACGAUAAGAAUGCACAAGUAGCAAUCGUCAUCAAGACAUGGUCUUAUCCUCAAGACAUGGUCUGGGAGAUGGACGUGCGCGGCAUCGACUGUAUUGUCAAGUUGAUCACGUGGCACUGUGUCACGGCAGACGCCAUCUCAGUGGUAUACGAGCGGGAUGGCCGGGAGGAGCAGACCAAGCAAUGAGGAAACCCAGAAGGAGAGCGCUCAGAGAUAUGUCUGGAGUCAGACGAGUAUCUCACAGGCGUAAAAGGUCGGUUUGGCAAUUACAAUGGAUAUUUCCUUGUCGGAUCGGUUACUUUUGUCAGCAACCGACACACCUUCGGGUCAUAUGGUAUGGGCGAAGGUGCGCCGUUUGAGCUCCCGGUGGCCGGCGGCAGAAUCAUUGGAUUCCAUGGCUGCUCGGGGGGAGGGGGGAGGGGCUCCUCAACGCUCUUGGCACCUACGUCAAGAUUGGCUAACUAUCAAGACUCACCAUGCUAUGUAAUGAGUUUCUUUUGCUUAUGUCAGUUGAUGACCGAAGGACACUCGGUGGAGUGACUUCUAAACUUAAGCUGGAUGCUUGUUCUCAUUUAUAUCCAAAGGAUGUAGUGUGCAUAUGUAGACUUUUUUUGCGAAAAUGCAUAGGUAGACUUUGUUUUGCUACCGUUCAAGUUUAUAAAUCUGGAACAGAUUCUGUUUUGCUAA